ACCAUCCUCCAAGGCUAAAUACUCCUGACUGACCGAUAGUGAACCAGUACCGUGAGGGAAAGGCGAAAAGAACCCCGGCGAGGGGAGUGAAAAAGAACCUGAAACCGUGUACGUACAAGCAGUGGGAGCACCUUCGGGUGUGACUGCGUACCUUUUGUAUAAUGGGUCAGCGACUUAUAUUCUGUAGCAAGGUUAACCGUAUAGGGGAGCCGCAGGGAAACCGAGUCUUAACUGGGCGUUAAGUUGCAGGGUAUAGACCCGAAACCCGGUGAUCUAGCCAUGGGCAGGUUGAAGGUUGGGUAACACUAACUGGAGGACCGAACCGACUAAUGUUGAAAAAUUAGCGGAUGACUUGUGGCUGGGGGUGAAAGGCCAAUCAAACCGGGAGAUAGCUGGUUCUCCCCGAAAGCUAUUUAGGUAGCGCCUCGUGAAUUCAUCUUCGGGGGUAGAGCACUGUUUCGGCUAGGGGGUCAUCCCGACUUACCAACCCGAUGCAAACUACGAAUACCGAAGAAUGUUAUCACGGGAGACACACGGCGGGUGCUAACGUCCGUCGUGAAGAGGGAAACAACCCAGACCGCCAGCUAAGGUCCCAAAGUCAUGGUUAAGUGGGAAACGAUGUGGGAAGGCACAGACAGCCAGGAUGUUGGCUUAGAAGCAGCCAUCAUUUAAAGAAAGCGUAAUAGCUCACUGGUCGAGUCGGCCUGCGCGGAAGAUGUAACGGGGCUAAACCAUGCACCGAAGCUGCGGCAGCGACACUAUGUGUUGUUGGGUAGGGGAGCGUUCUGUAAGCCUGCGAAGGUGACCUGUGAGGG
rnacentral:rRNA from 1 species